UACGGAGGAUCCAAGCGUUAUCCGGAAUCAUUGGGUUUAAAGGGUCCGUAGGCGGUUUGGUAAGUCAGUGGUGAAAUCCCUUCGCUCAACGGAGGAACGGCCAUUGAUACUGCCAGACUUGAAUUACUGGGAAGUAACUAGAAUAUGUAGUGUAGCGGUGAAAUGCUUAGAUAUUACAUGGAAUACCAAUUGCGAAGGCAGGUUACUACCAGUGGAUUGACGCUGAUGGACGAAAGCGUGGGGA
rnacentral:rRNA from 1 species